AAUUCUCAACCCAUUUCAUUUGUUUAUCAAGUGAAGUGUGUGUUGGAUGUGGGGGUUGCGGGCUUUCAUUCAGUUGAAGUCGGCUCUCCUGAAAUGCAUUAGCGGAAACCUUUGUUGGACCGCUUCUAUUGGGUGUGAUAAUUAUCUACGCCUAGGAAGCGCGAAAGCACUUGGGUUCAAUUUUGAACCGGGGUUUUGCUUCUAAUCGUCCAUUCACUUGGACAAUUUACUUUGAC
rnacentral:misc_RNA from 1 species